GCGUGAAAUGUUUUCCUCAGAUUAUCCUAAUGAAGAACGCUGAAAUCAACAAAUUUAAAGACUAUAAUUCCUGAGAAGCUGCAUGUGGGUUCAUAAGGGACACCAUGUGUUAGAAAAAGUAAAAUAUAAAAUAUAAAAUAUAAACUGUAUCGUCAAAAGAGUGUUAUAAAGACGAAUAGUCUAACUAACACAACAUAGACGAAAAUCAACUAGAUAGUUAUCAAAAGUAUCAGGC
rnacentral:lncRNA from 1 species